rnacentral:rRNA from 1 species
UACGAGGGGUCCUAGCGUUGUUCGGAAUCAUUGGGCGUAAAGAGUCUGUAGGCGGCUAGAUAAGUCAGGUGUGAAAUCCCCGGGCUCAACCCGGGACGUGCAUUUGAUACUGUCUAGCUUGAGUAUGGAAGAGGCUAGUGGAAUUCUUGGUGUAGUGGUGAAAUACGUAGAUAUCAGGAGGAACACCGGUGGCGAAGGCGGCUAGCUGGUCCUAUACUGACGCUGAGAGACGAAAGCAUGGGGAUCAAACAGG